CAUUGUUAAGUGACUUCCUCGUAUCCCCCUGAUUGGAUUUCAGUGCAUAUCAUUUUAACGGUUUUCCAAAUCAAUAUUCUUAUAAAAUUAACUUAAUCACUUAACAUCUUUCUUACUUCCCAGUUCAGUAUUAAACAUAUUUAUUCGUCACAUAUUACAUAUUGAAAUCCUAAGUCUAUCCGCUAUAUGCAAGCUUUUUCCAAUUAAUUUAACUUAAUAUAUUUAACUAAAUAGUCAUUAAAUUUCAUCCAUUCUUCCUGAUACUCCUCCUCCUUCUGGUCACGGACUCUUCCAGUCAGGUCGGCUAGCUCCGAAAAAUCCAUCAUCUUCAUCUGCCAUUCUUCCACUGUUGGUACUUCUUGCGUUUUCCAAUUCUUAGCUAACAAAAUUCUUGCUGCAGUUGUGGCAUACAAAAAUAAUUUAACAUCUUUUGGGGCCAAUUCCAAACCUGUUAUUCCAAGAAGAAAGGCCUCUGGUUUCUUUAUAAAUGUAUAUUUCAACAUUUUUUUCAAUUCAUUAUAAAUCUUUUCCCAGAAGUCUUUCACCUUGGGGCAGGUCCACCACAUAUGAUAGAAGGUACCUUCUUUUUCUUUACAUUUCCAGCAAUGGUUAUCACAGUUAUGAUAAAUCUUUGCUAAUUUAACAGGGGUCAGAUACCAUCUAUAUAUCAUUUUCAUUAUGUUUUCCUUUAGUACAGUACAUGCAGUGAACUUGACCCCUUUCUUCCACAAUCUUUCCCAAUCCUCAAACAUUAUGUUAUGUCCUACAUGUCUUGCCCAAUCUAUCAUCACUGAUUUAACUUGUUCAUCCUUCGUAUGCCACUCUAACAAUGGGAAAUGUAGUGCUUUCACAUACACCCCAAUGUUGCAGGGUGCAUUCUCUGGGUGUUUGGUGCUGCUUUGGAGUGAAUCAGAUGACAUUGGACCUUUGGAGAAUUUGUGACCCUGUGGGUUAGGGCAAUGAAGCCUCAUUUUGGGGGGGGCACCAUAAAACGUGGGGUUUCACUGCCAUGGAUCACAAAACGGCUGCUGUUUUGUGCAAAGCUGGUAGAUUGAGAAACUUGAAUUUUAUUUUUAUUUUAAAAAAGAUAAACUAAAGGUGUGUGCUUACAGGUAAACAGAUACCAGUGUGCAUGCCCAUUAUGACCUCAGGCAAGAAUCAAGAAAAUACAGGUGGUCCCUCUUAACUGACAUUCUUAACUGAACAGAACUGAAGGGAGGGGCUGGUUCUGGAGCAAAGCUGUUUAGAUUGGGUUUGGGUGGAUGCGAAGAGGAUGCCUCAAACUUCUUGGGCUUUGCUUCUCAACUUAUUCUGCCUUCUGGGACCCCCCAGCCCAAGACCAACCACCUCUUGGAUAGAAACGGUCAGCAUGUGACAGAGGCCACAUCCUGGGAACGGUUUGACUGGCCACCUAAACCAGGGGAGGGCAGCCAAGGAGUCUCAAAUGCUCAGGAACUUCCCCUGUGUGCCAAGACAGGCUCCAGCAGAUUGAGCGGACAAGACCAAGCGUGGGCCCAGUGGUCAAGAAGGUGGUUUCUGCAAUGCUGUGGAGGGAAGUGAGGGGCAGAUGGGGCUCAUCCACCUAUAGCCCAUCGAGGAGAAGGAAAACUCUGAUCCUAAUUUGCCUUGUGGGAUAUCUUUCAGAGCUGAAAAGGCUAAGGAGUAAAGCCUACACAAAUCUGGAGUGGAGUCCCUCAGGCGGUUGGAUGGCGCCGUUUACAACCCCUUCUGACAUCUCCUGCAGCCCAACUGGUGCCUAACUCUGCUUUCCUUGGAGA